AGAGUUUGAUCCUGGCUCAGAUUGAACGCUGGCGGCAUGCCUUACACAUGCAAGUCGAACGGUAACAGGUCUUCGGAUGCUGACGAGUGGCGAACGGGUGAGUAAUACAUCGGAACGUGCCCGAUCGUGGGGGAUAACGAGGCGAAAGCUUUGCUAAUACCGCAUACGAUCUACGGAUGAAAGCGGGGGAUCUUCGGACCUCGCGCGGACGGAGCGGCCGAUGGCAGAUUAGGUAGUUGGUGGGAUAAAAGCUUACCAAACCGACGAUCUGUAGCUGGUCUGAGAGGAUGAUCAGCCACACUGGGACUGAGACACGGCCCAGACUCCUACGGGAGGCAGCAGUGGGGAAUUUUGGACAAUGGGCGAAAGCCUGAUCCAGCCAUGCCGCGUGCAGGAUGAAGGCCUUCGGGUUGUAAACUGCUUUUGUACGGAACGAAAAGCCUCUUUCU
rnacentral:rRNA from 1 species